GUCCGCAACGAGCGCAACCCUCGUCCUUAGUUGCCAUCAUUAAGUUGGGAACUCUAGGGAGACUGCCGGUGACAAACCGGAGGAAGGUGAGGAUGACGUCAAGUCAGCAUGCCCCUUACGCUCUGGGCGACACACGUACUACAAUGGUUGGGACAAAGGGCAGCAACCCCGCGAGGGAAAGCGAAUCUCAUCAAACCCAGCCUCAGUUCAGAUUGCAGGCUGCAACUCGCCUGCAUGAAGUAGGAAUCGCUAGUAAUCGCAGGUCAGCAUACUGCGGUGAAUUCGUUCCCGGGCCUUGUACACACCGCCCGUCACACCAU
rnacentral:rRNA from 1 species